UAAGACCCCAGGGAGACUACCUGGUUGAUAGGCCUAAGGUGUAAGCAUGGUAACAUGUUUAGCUGAUAGGUACUAAUAGGUCGAGGGCUUGACCUAAUAUAACA
rnacentral:rRNA from 1 species